GAUAUAUUCCCUCCGUCCGGAAUUACUUCGUACAAAUGGAUGUAUCUAGAUGUAUUUUAGUUCUAGAUACAUCCCUUUCUAUCCAUUUCUGAGACAAGUAAUUCAGGACGGAGGAGGUAUCUU
rfam:Triticum urartu cultivar G1812 contig1183460, whole genome shotgun sequence.